CUCCUAUAUGUCCUGGGCCGCACGCGCACUACACUGACACAGAAAACGAGCAUUCCGCUUGCGGCCUGCGCCGAAGGGUGCGGGAAAUCUUAGAAACCUGUGUCGUGAUGGGGAUAGAUCAUUGAAAUUAUUGUCCUUGAACGAGGAAUGUCUUGUAGGCGCGUUUCAUCAGAACGCACCGAAUACGUCCCUGGUUCUUGUACACACCGCCCGUCGUUGCCUGUAAUGGCUUGCGAGUAGAACCAUUUGGAGGUACUGGAGUUCUCUUCGGUCCAAAAUUUGGUAAUACUCGUAAGCUAGAAGAGGCAAAANUCGUANCA
rnacentral:rRNA from 1 species